rnacentral:tRNA from 2 species
AAGUGGUAGUAUAAAUAGUAUGCUUUCCUUCCAAGAAAGUGGUCCACUUUUUGGCUACUUCU